rnacentral:lncRNA from 1 species
GUGACGUGUUUCCGGUCCGCGGUUAUUGAGUUCCUUAACACAGACGAGGCUAAAUGUAGCGUCGUUUAUCGAUAAUUAGGUGGAUCACCACAUAAUACACGCAUUAGGUUCAAUGCUUAGGUAAUUAGACGUUUGGAAGAGACGUUUGCGGUACAUUUUAGAGAUACUUUUGGUGUCCAAGGUGCAUCCUCAUCCUGUUAGCUUGUUCAAGCAGCGCGAGCGGCUAACGGUCGCGCCACAUUUCUGAGUCGGAUCAGAUAACUCAGUUUAUAUUGACUUUUGGGUGUUAUAGAAGGAAUUCUGGAUCUAUCGGCAUUUGCACCUGAACUCACCAUAAGGGUGUAAGAGCCACAUCAGCCACACGGUCAUUUCCAUCAUCAGAUAUUACAACAUUGCUCCUCAUCAUCUCCAGACAUGGAAAUCGACCAGCUGGCCAGAGGUUUCCGGACACGGCUGACCACGACCUUUGACGGCGUUUUAAGGAAAGCUUUGCUAGACGUGAUGGACGUUUUUGAAAGCACCAUGCAAGACUUUAAAAUACUGAUGCAGCAGAAAGAGGCACAGAUUCAAAAACUCCAGGGGAAGCUGGUGGUAGCGGAGCUGAAACAAAAAAAGCACGUGUGUAGAAGUGACAGAAGACCAAAGACUGAGAACGAUACAGCAAAGGUUCAGGCAGUGAAGCCGGUGUCAUCGUCUGGUAAAGUUUCUGCUUUAAAAGAAGGGACAAAUCCUAUUUUGAGCAGAAGAUUAUCUCCACGUCAACAUCCAAUAAUCCCCAUUAAACAGGAAACUUCUGACCAAACCAAUUGUAAAAUCCAGAAAAGAAGUGAGCAAAUCUUGAUGGGAAACGUAACUCAGCAUAGAAAGAAUCCCAAUGACAAAGUAACGAAGAGAUCGGCUAAAAAAAAGAAGCGUAGAAGAGUUUGUCAGAAAGUUUUUAUUUCAGAAAACGAGCGAAACAUGCACGUGCUCUUUCAUCACUGCUGCAUCGGCUGCAGAACAGUCUACCAAAAACGAGGAAGUCUCCUUCGUCACAAAUCAACCUGUGAAAAACUCAACAGAGGCCUGGCAAAAACACCCGUUUCUACCGAGACCCAAACCACAAUCAAAACAGAAAACGCGCCGUUUCUCAUCAGCAGCAUGGAUCCAGACACCAUAAGGAGCACAUUUGCAAAAAGUGCAAGAGUCAGCAUUAGCGGAACAAUGCAAGUGAUGAAGAAUUUGUGAAUAUAAACGACCAGAGCAAGAACCUGUGGACACACAGCACAAUGUUCUUCUGUAUAUUAUAACUUUUACACAUUUCUUUAUAGUUAUCGUCUGUGUAGAACUAACACUUGAAGUGAAGAGACCCCCUCUGAAAAGGAUUUAUAGGGGGAGUUUGUUUCUACAUCCUGCAAACUUUCACGUGGACAGGAUGACCCACCCCUUUCAGGGAGACCCCUGUUGUGGGAGGGUGUCACUGUCCAGAUUGUCCUCGUGACUUUUUUAACAACAAGUUCCCUCCAAAAAUAAGGACAUAGGAAAGUGGAUACAAUGCAUGACAUCACCAAAAAGAACAAUAUAUUAAUGAUCUAUGUUCAAUUUAUUAUUAUUAUUUUAUAAUCACCUAGAUUUCUUUUUCAGGUAAAAUCUCUCAGCCAAAAGGCCAUUUUAGUUGUUGUUGUUGUCCAAAAUGUCUAGAAACCUCACUAAUGUUAGUUUAAGGUAACUGCUGUUUGAACUUUUUCAUAAGAACAUUUACCAGUAAAACUCACCAACCAGUUCUGACAAAUACUGUACAUACUUAUAAGCCAUGUUUGGUAUCAAAAUGACCGAUAAGUCAUGAUAUUUUAGGUUCUCUUAUUGAAAAUGUUUAGUUUAUUUGUUUAUUUGAGCAGUUAAAGUACCGCUCAAAAGGAGUGGGCUGAAGCAAGAGCUUAUUAGCGCCGACCCCCGAGAUCAUUACAAUGAAAACAACAUAUCACACAGUACAAGGGAACAAAUUACAAGGAAUAAAGUACAAGAGCAUAGGAACA